rnacentral:rRNA from 1 species
UACGGAAGGGGCAAGCGUUGUUCGGAAUUAUUGGGCGUAAAGGGCGUGUAGGCGGCUUCGCAGGUCUGUGGUGAAAGCAUACAGCUCAACUGUAUUGAGCCAUGGAAACGGCGGAGCUUGAGGCUGGGAGGGGCUGGUGGAAUUCCCUGUGUAGCGGUGGAAUGCGUAGAGAUGGGGGAGAACACUCGUGGCGAAGGCGGCCAGCUGGACCAGUUCUGACGCUGAGACGCGAAAGCGUGGGGAGCAAACAGG